CUCAAAAAAAAAAAAAAAAAAAAAAAAAGAAAAACAACAACAACAACAACGAAAACAACCGGUAGGCAACUCGGAAUCUGAAGGAAUCUUGUCUGACAACUGUGCUAUCCAUGUGGGCUACGGUGUGACAGUGGCGGUAGAGAGGAGACUCCGGCUGGCGACCGGGGACUGGGAAGCUGGGGUCCCCUUCCCCUCGGACCCUCCCCACCUUCCCUUUCCCCAUCCAAAAGGAUUUCAGGAGAGGAG
rnacentral:lncRNA from 1 species